GUGCUCACUCCCCUAGCACAUGCUCCAAAACCGGAAUGAUGUAGAGAGGAUUAGCAUGUUCCCUGAGCAAGGAUAACACGCAAAUUCCUGAAGUGGAGGGAGAGAGA
ensembl:snRNA U6 U6 spliceosomal RNA